rnacentral:rRNA from 1 species
CGCGACAGGAACGCUGGCGGCGUGCUUAACACAUGCAAGUCAAGGAGAAGUUCUGCUUCGGUGGAAUGGAUACUGGCGCACGGGUGAGUAACGCGUAUGCAAUCUACCCUUGGAUCGGGGAUAACACUUCCAACGAGGUGCUAAUACCCGAUGACGCAGCGGCACCGCAUGGUGACAGUUGUUAAAGCUUCGGCGACCAAGGAUAAGCAUGCGUCCCAUUAGGUAGUUGGUGAGGUAACGGCUCACCAAGCCCGCGAUGGGUAGCUGGUCUGAGAGGAUGAUCAGCCACACUGGGACUGAGACACGGCCCAGACUCCUACGGGAGGCAGCAGUGAGGAAUAUUGCGCAAUGGGGGAAACCCUGACGCAGCAACGCCGCGUGCGGGAUGAAGGCCUUUUAGGUCGUAAACCGCUGUAGCAAGGGAAAAAAUAUCCCGUUCGACGGGAUUGAUGGUACCCUGAAAGUAAGCCUCGGCUAACUACGUG